CAGUGGAAAAGUGCACCGAAGUCUGG
rnacentral:piRNA from 1 species